CAGCCGCCACGGUAAUACGAAGGGGGCUAGCGUUGUUCGGAAUUACUGGGCGUAAAGCGCACGUAGGCGGAUAUUUAAGUCAGGGGUGAAAUCCCGCAGCUCAACUGCGGAACUGCCUUUGAUACUGGGUAUCUUGAGUAUGGAAGAGGUUAGUGGAAUUGCGAGUGUAGAGGUGAAAUUCGUAGAUAUUCGCAGGAACACCAGUGGCGAAGGCGGCUAACUGGUCCAUAACUGACGCUGAGGUGCGAAAGCGUGGGGAGCAAACAGGAUUAGAUACCCCUGUAGUCCCUGUCUCUUAUAA
rnacentral:rRNA from 1 species